rnacentral:rRNA from 1 species
AUGAUUGGAUUUCAGCUAGCUGGUGGUAGUAUCUUGCAGCCCCAUCAUCAGACGAGAAAGGCAUCAAGACUUGAUUGGUUUCUUUCUUUCUUUCUUUCCUGGCUUUUCCACAGCCGCCGCAUCCGAUGCUUGAGCUUUGGGCAUGCAGGUGUCAGUCACUCGCUCAGUCAGGUCAAAUUGGGGGCCAUGAAAGGAGCGGCGCCCAGUCCAAGCACACACCUGAAAGGGCGUACGAAAAGAAGAGCAAUUUACUGGGCACUGUCUGAGGGUAAAGUAAAAGUGGGGAAGAAAGAGAGAGUGGCUGCUCUCUUCACCGUUGGCAGCGUUGCCAUGGCUUCACCUUUUCUUUUGCUUGCUUUUUUGCAGGCACACUGUUGCCUAGUAGGAGUACAUGCUUGCAUGCGUGUGUGUAUGUGUGUGUGUUCUGCAGAGAUUCCUCCUCCGUGA